AGUGAACGCUGGCGGUAGGCCUAACACAUGCCAGUCGAACGGCAGCACAGUAAGAGCUUGCUCUUACGGGUGGCGAGUGGCGGAUGGGUGAGGAAUACAUCGGAAUCUACUUUUUCGUGGGGGAUAACGUAGGGAAACUUACGCUAAUACCGCAUACGACCUACGGGUGAAAGCAGGGGAUCUUCGGACCUUGCGCGAUUGAAUGAGCCGAUGUCGGAUUAGCUAGUUGGCGGGGUAAAGGCCCACCAAGGCGACGAUCCGUAGCUGGUCUGAGAGGAUGAUCAGCCACACUGGAACUGAGACACGGUCCAGACUCCUACGGGAGGCAGCAGUGGGGAAUAUUGGACAAUGGGCGCAAGCCUGAUCCAGCCAUACCGCGUGGGUGAAGAAGGCCUUCGGGUUGUAAAGCCCUUUUGUUGGGAAAGAAAAGCAGCAGGUUAAUACCCCGCUGUUCUGACGGUACCCAAAGAAUAAGCACCGGCUAACUUCGUG
rnacentral:rRNA from 1 species